CGGAGCCCACGCACUAUCCUCCCUUCGCUACUUUCUCUCCAAGGAAAAAGCCUUUCCUUAUCCUCUUUCCCUCGUCUAGAUCAAAUCCGGUGAAGUAGCGGCUAGGGAGGUCGAGGCGAGGCGGCGGACCGGACGAGCCUGGAGAGCAGAUCAGCCGGCGAGCCGGACCAGUAGCGACGCCGUCUCCUCCUUGCUCUUUCUAUGAGCAAGAUCAGGGGUCGCCCAGCCGCCCGCCUCCCAGCGCCGCCCGCCGCGCCAAGUACACCCCGGCCGCCUCCUCCACUUGCCUACUCCCGGCGACGCGCGCCGCGCCUAGCACGCGCCCCGACCGUUCCCCUCCUUCUGCCUCCUCCUAGCGACGCACGCCGAGGCCGGGAGGGACUGUUUCCCUAGGCCCCCAACGCCAACGAUCGAUUACAGUGCCAUCUAGGUGUUGUUGAUGCAUACUUGGGUGGGAGAUUGAACAUAGGUGCCAACUUUCUUCUGUCGGCAGAGGAAUCGGGGAGGCAAUUCCUUUCGUGAGAGCCGUCGUGCGCAGUGGGUGGCGGUUUCGAAUUUCGUGCCCUUAUCCCCCACUUCUCGCGGCGGUCUCCAUUUCGCCGUUGGGUGUUGCAGAGGCGGAAGCGAGGGUGCGGUCGAAGGCGGAAGCGAGGGUGCGAUCGAAGCCGGGGCGCGCCGCGAGGAUCGUCGUUCACGGCGGCAUAGAUCAACCAAAAUGGAUGGCAGUGAGGCAGAGG